ACUCGGGCAACAUAAAUUUUGCAGAAGGUGCGCGUGCGCGAUAUAGGCACGAAUGUGUUAUGGCUUCCUGAUGUGUGGGUGGAUAGUUAAGAACCGUGUCUUGGUGGGUUUGCUUUUCUUCCCUUUCUCUGUGGUGCGGGAUAAGAGGGACGUCUGAAUCGCACUGGAGGAACUCUCCAGGCACUUUGCUGCCCUGCCUUGGUUGCUGGACAGUCAGCAUCACGAGCUGGAGCAUCAAGGGCCACGAGGGUGUGCUAGGUACCCUGCAGUCUGUGCUACACUUUCCAACCUCGGAACCCAGCUGCCUGGUGUCCUCGGCGCUUCACUUCUUGUCUUGUUGCAGCUGUAACCAGAACAUUUAAAGAGGCAAGGGAGGCUCUACAGUGUCAACCCCAUUUUAAACCUUCUUUUUGUAUGUGUAUUUGCGUUUGUGUGCACAUGAGUGCAAGUGCUUUCAGAAGACUGAAGAGUGAGCUGCUCACUGCGGGUGCUGGGAACUGAACAUGAGGCCUCUGCAAGAGUAGUUGUCUUCUUGUGCAACUGGCUGGCCUGAAGCUAGUGUAGACCAAGCUGACCUCAAAUUUACAGUGCUUUUGUCCACCAAGUGCUAGUUCUAAAGGCAUACACCACCAUCUGACUUGAAUUAACUUUGACUAAGAUCUAUGUCUGUAAUGGAACGAUACUGUCUCAAAGUGGCUUCUGUUCAUAGUGAACCAUACUCUACCUAAGUAAUACAUACAAAACAAUGUAACAAAACAGCUGAGCCUCCAGCCACUCAGACCAAAACAGCCAAAACAUGACUGUAUAAGGUUAAUACUGACUUCAGUCAAUCAGAUUGUUCCUGUAUACCAUUGUCUUUUCAUCGGCUAUAUAUUUAACUUUGAGCUGUAUUGUGUAAAUAAGAAACUCACUGAACCAACUUUCAUCAGAAGUUUUUUUGCCUGGCCAUAGAACCUUCUUUGUUGAAAUAAAUUUAACUCAUA